rnacentral:rRNA from 1 species
AGAACGAACGCUGGCGGCAGGCUUAACACAUGCAAGUCGAACGCGUGUAGCAAUACACGAGUGGCGCACGGGUGAGUAACGCGUGGAUAUCUGCCUUUUGGUUCGGAAUAACCCCGGGAAACUGGGGCUAAUACCGGAUGGUUCCUUCGGGAUAAAGAUUUAUCGCCAAAAGAUGAGUCCGCGUACGAUUAGCUAGUUGGUGAGGUAAUGGCUCACCAAGGCGACGAUCGUUAGCUGGUCUGAGAGGACGAUCAGCCACACUGGGACUGAGACACGGCCCAGACUCCUACGGGAGGCAGCAGUGGGAAUAUUGGACAAUGGGGGCAACCCUGAUCCAGCCAUGCCGCGUGAGUGAUGAAGGCCUUCGGGUUGUAAAGCUCUUUUGGCGGGGACGAUGAUGACGGUACCCGCAGAAUAACGCCCCGGCUAACUUCGUGCCAGCAGCCGC